ACGGGGGGGGCAAGCGUUGUUCGGAAUUACUGGGCGUAAAGGGCUCGUAGGCGGCCAACUAAGUCGGACGUGAAAUCCCUCGGCUUAACCGGGGAACUGCGUCCGAUACUGGAUGGCUUGGGAUCGGGAGAGGGAUGCGGAAUUCCAGGUGUAGCGGUGAAAUGCGUAGAUAUCGGGAAGAACACCCGUGGCUAAGGCGGCUCUCUAGUACGGUACUGACGCUGAGACGCGAAAGCGUGGGGAGCGAACAGGA
rnacentral:rRNA from 1 species